UAUUUUAGAUCACAGGGGUUCAGAUACUGAUUUCAGUGUCCAUCAUUUUCUCACCCCACCCCUAGACUGUUGCAGGCCCCUCCCCUUCAGGCUGAAGUGCUUGCUGGGAGAUUCUCUUACGAUUUUUCUGUUUCUCAUUUGGGGAUUCAAACACUAAUGACUAGGAGAGUCUCCAUUAGUCACCUUUCCUGGUACAGUAAUAAAAAUAGCUUCCAAGAGCAACUUCAGGGAGGAAGGCUUGACACUUUCCGGGGGCAGGCCCUUGAGGUAACUGGGCAUCUUGCAUCGGUAGUGGGAGGCAGAAUGGUGUGGAUGCAUGUGCUCAGCCCGUUUCUCCCAUUUAAUGCAUCCCUGGACCCAAGCCUGGGGACGGUACCACUCACUUUUAGGGUGGCUCUUCUACCUCAAGUUACUUGAUUU
rnacentral:lncRNA from 1 species